UGAUAUUGUUUCCAUCUGUUAUGCAAAACUCAGAGGAUGUCGAUACUCAGAUAUAGAGACACCUGAUGUCUUGCAAAUCAACCAUGAGAAGGAUGGAAGAUGCUCUAUGGAUACCCUGUUUUCCUUAUCAUCAGAGCAUCAUCUACUGUUACUUUGUCUGUUGAUGGACAGGGUAUGUCAUGUACAGUGAAGGUCAACCUACAACGUUCUCACUGGAAAACCCAUGGAACAUCCUUGUUUUGUUUCUUUCUCAGAAAUAAAUCAUUUAGCACAAGCAUACAUGGGCCGAAGGAAACAACAGAUCCUCCAGAGUCUAUGAAUUAACCGGUUAAAGUCCACCUAUACCAUUGUAGGAGGAAUGCUCAAAUAAUCAGUGAGGAUCAGCAAGUUGUGAGUCACAAUUGAUUUAACUUUGAACAUUUCCAAAACUGACAGUGAGUAACCAAAGCACGCUGCUAUGGAGCAUCUCCUGCAUAACAAAAGAUAAAGCAGACAUCUUUUGAUGGAGUGUGGAGCUCGCAUUAGCAAGGUCACACACAUGGCGGUUGCCAGGGCCUUGCUGUAAAAUGACAUGGUACUCAAAGGUGAUCAGUCUUUGCUUUGGUUUCUGUAACUGGCGUUGAGUUCUCUCCCCCAAACUGAAGAAAGUCGGCAGCCUCACUUGUCUUCAGUACUCUGCAGUCCCAACCUAUGGGCCCUUCUUUGAUUCGUUGACACUUUGAGAGGUAACCCUUGUACUCUCUCACUUGUUUGUUAUUUGGCUCUACUGCUAGUAUCAUAUCGAAUCUAAGCCGCUAGUAAUAAUUUACUAAUCAGGGGAGCGAAUUUUUUUAACAAUGUUAAUUACUACAAUAUAUACUAGAGUAGAAUAGUAAAUUAAGUUAAAAAGGAUCCAUACGUGCAUGGGAAUGGUUGUGGCUGGAAUUCCAAGGGAGUAGAAAAGUAUCAAUUUGUCCUAGGUCAAUGCAUGGGGAUGGUGAAUACGAGCGAGCGAACACCUAAGCUUUCAAACUACUAGUCAUACUUGUGGUUUUCUUCUUCGAUUCGUGUGGUUCAGGUCGCUGAUGCCUAGAGAUCCGCGCAGAUGACUAACCAUAAACAAAACGAGGUGUGCUUGCGAGUUGCCAUCACGAACUGGAAGGGAUUAAGGGCCUCUAUGAUUUCUAGGAAUUUUCAAGGAAAAUUAGAGAAAUCAAACAAAUUCUUAUAAAAAUCGUGCAAAACUCUUUGGAACUGAGGAGGCAGUGUUCUUUAGUGGAGGUUGGCCAUGAACUUUCAGGCCAUGGAAAACGAUGUGAGCUAUUAACACAUGGUUAAUUAAGUAUUAGCUAUUAUAAAAUUAAAAAAUAAAUUUAUUUGAUUUUGCAAGAAAAUAUUUUUUAAAAAAUAAUUAUAUUGUCCAGAUUUAUAACUAUAGGAUGGAUCGUGUCUGGUCGUAGGUGGUGUUGUGGUGAUCAUUUGGCUUUUUGAGAGAAAAAUC